GGAAGGCGGGGGGGUGGGACCGGGAGCGAACGGGAACGGGGGUUGGGGCGGCUGCGGAGCGCUCGCUGCGGCCGGCGCCCGGGAGGCAGGCGGCUCAGGGCCGCCCUUCGUGAGGUUCCCCGGAGGCGGCAGAAGGGCAGAGGGGAAGGAAGCGACAGCCGGGGACCUUCCGCCGCGGGGGUCUCCGGGACGCGGCAGCUGUCGGUGCCCGCGGAGCCCGGCGGGACGGUGGGGGAGCGCGAGGGGAACGGAGCGGCGAAAGAGGCGGCAGCUUCUUUCCUCAGUGGAUCCGUCUCACAGUCAGUGGCCCACGAUUGCUUGGCAACAGCAGAAGCGGAUUGAAGGGACCGGCCGCUGGAGGAUGCCGAAGACUCCCGGGUCACCAAUGGGAGCAGCUUUGCGUAAAGCGAGGGGUACGUGAAGCCGGGCGUGCGGUGCCGACUGCCCAGCAGGUAAGGGAAGCUAAAGCUUUACCUCCAUGGACUUCUGCCCAGAAAGCUGAAGAAAUUGCUCUCACGUGAGCUUUAGAGUUAUGCAAAGAGAAGAAGAUUAGUAGCUGCACUGAUUCUAAGCAGGUUUCUUGAAGGGUGCGGGCCCUUGAAGCCGUUUGAAAAGAAUAAAGUAUAUUAACGGCACAAGGAAGGCAGAUUAAACGUGAUGCUCCAGUUGCUGGAAGCUGUGCUGUUGCUAGAAAAGUUGCCGUCAUGCGUUGCAAAGGGCCUCAGAAGGGAAACGCUGAUCAGGAAACUGGCAAUAAAUUGGCAGACGCCGCUGUAAAACCAGCCACUGAAAGGACAGAGACCGAUACAUAAGCCACGUCUCUGACCCCAGGUGGCCGUGUCCUCCAGCCAACGUCAGGAAACUGUAACAAAGAGGAUGAGAAAUUAAUAGAAGAUUUAUAGCCGAAUCAGAAUUAGGGUCCAAAGGAGCCGUGACCGGCGACGGGAGAGUAGUGGCGCCUCGCGGUGCGAGGAGCUGAUGCGCUCUAUCAAGAGCAGACGAAAAGACGCCUGUCCCUGUUUUCUCUUCCCGCUUUUGAAGAGAAGCUGCCGAGUUAGCGUACGCUGCGGUGAAGUUCUACAAGAUGUAGCCCUCAUGAACCAGUUGACGUGAGGGAAAUGCUUUCUGACCGCCUGCACGCCGGCGAGGCGGCCGGAGGACCCGCUCUGUGCGGCUGCGGGACCCGCGGAGUCGAGGGCUCUCUCGGCGCGCCCUGGAGAUUUCUCUGGAGAGACUCCUCGUCUCGGUCGCAUCGCCGCGGGGACGGAUGAGGACCUCUGGUGAGGGGUCUUUCUUCGCUGAGAGCCGGGACCGGGCACGCGCUUGCGAGGCUUCCGUAAGUCGCGAGGGGGAGCUGUGACCGCCCCAUGCUCAGCAGACCCCCCAGCCCAGGUGGGGGGAGCAGCGCCGGAGCGGGAGACACAGCACCAUCCUCCGUCCCCAGCGUGCCGGGGCGCGGCUGCCAGCCUGUGGGACGUGGCUGCGGCUGUUCGGGGCGCUGCCCCCCCUUUUUGGGGGCUCUGAGCAGCCCGAUGUGCUGUUAAAGGUUGUGGUGGUGCGGGUCAGGGAUCCCCAGGCUGUGCCAAGACCGCAGGACGGCUGCUGGUGGAACAAAGUCAAGGACAACUUCUCAGAGGACAGAGGUGAGGCUGACUGGUCUAUAAUUACCCGGGUCCUCCUGCUUGCCCUUUUUGAAGACUGGAGUGACAUUUGCUUUCCUCCAAUCCUUGGGCACCUCCCCCGUUUCCCAAGACUUGGCAAAGAUGAUGGAGAGCGGUCCAGCAAUGACUUCAGCCGGCUCCCUCAGCACCCACAGAUGCAUCCCAUCUGGACCCAUGGAUUUAUGGAUGUCCAGACUAUUUAAUUGCUCCCUAACCCAGUCCUCAUCAACUAAAGCAAACUCCUCCGUUGACCUGGCUUCAUCCGGGGUCUCAGGGGUACAGGGCUCCCCAGGACGGCCUCCGGCAGAGUAGACAGAGACAAAGAAGGCAUUCAGCAAUUCUGCCUUCUCUGUAUCUUCUGCCACCAGGGCACCCACCCCGUUCAUCAGUGGGCCUACAUUGCCUCUGGUAUUAGUUUUAUCUGCUGUGCAUUUGAAAAAGUUCUUUUUGCUGUCCUUGACCCCUCUCGCCAGCUGUAAUUCUAAGGAGGCCUUGGCUAUCCUAGCUGCCUUCCUACAUCCUCUAACAGCAGCCUUAUAUUCUUCCCAAGUGGCCAGCCCCUGCUUCCAUGACCUGUAAACUCUCCUCUUCUGCUUGAGCAUACCCAACAGAUCCCUGUUCAACCACGCAGGCCUCCUGGCUCCCUUCCUUGACUCCCUUCGUGUGGGGAUGCUCUGAUCCUGAGCGUGGAAGAAGCAAUCUCUGAAUGCAAUCCAGCUAUCUCGGGCCCCUUUUCCUUCAAUCAGUCUUGCCCAUGGGAUUUCCCCCAGCAAUUGCUUGAAAAGGCCAAAGUUAGCCCUGCUAAAGUCCAGGGUUGCAAUUCUACUUGCUAUUCUGUUCCUGCCACCCAAGAUGCUGAACUCUACCAUCUCGUGGUCACUGCUACCCAGGCAGCCCUCAACCUUUACUGCUUCGACCAGACCCUCCUUGUUAGUGAGGAUGAGAUCCAGCAGUGCACCUCUCCUAGUCAGCUCCUCUACCAUCUGCAUGAGGAAGUUAUCAUCAAUGCACUGGAGGAACCUGUGGCUGGCUGGCUGAAUGGUCCUUCCAGCAAACAUCAGGGAAGUUAAAAUCCCCCACAACAACCAGGGCCUGUGACUGUGAGGCCACGCUCAACUGCCCAUAGAAGGCCUCAUCAACUUCCUCAGCCUGAUCUGGUGGCCUGUAGCAGAUGCUCACAACAGUGUCACCCCUGCCAGCCUGCCCCUUGAUCCUGACCCAUACACUCUCAACUCGCUCGUCAUCUACUCCUGGGCAGAAUUUAGUACAUUGUAGUUGCUCUCUCACAUAGAGAGCAACUCUACCACCACGCCUGGCUGGCCUGUCUUUCCUGAAAAGGGCAUAGCCAUCCAUGACCACAUUCCAGUCAUGUGAACUGUCCCACCAUGUUUCCGUAAUUGCCACCAGAUCAUAAUCUCCCGACCAAACAUAGGAUUCUAACUCCUCCUGCUUAUUCCCCAUGCUGCGUGCAUUGGUGUACAGGCAUUUCAGGGAGCGAGCAGAGCACACCAAUUUCUCCCUAGGGGCAUAGGAGGCCACCCGGUCCUCAUCAGAUUUAGAAUGCUGCCCCACUGGGACAAGCCCAGCUACAACCCCAUCCCACUUCGAGCCUAGUUUAAAGCUCUCCAAAUGAGCCCAGCUAAUUCCCGCCCCAGCAUCCUUUUGCCCCUGCGAGAUAAACCUUUCCCGCUUGACACUGUCCGGAUUGGUGACUUAUAAAACCCACCAUUAUAAAAAAAUCCAAAGCCCUGUCUGUAGCACCAGUCUUGGAGCCAACCAUUAAGAGACUGAAUUUUCCUAUUCCAUCCCACAUUGUCCCUUGAAGAAGGAAGGAGUGAAGAGAUGAUCACUUGAGCCCCUGAGUCUUUCACCAUCCUUCCCAAGACCUUGAAAUCGUUCUUCAUUCCCCUCAGACUACGGGAAGCAGCUUCCUCCCCAUCUGUCUGGAAGACCAGCAGCGGGUAGUAGUCUGUUGGGUGCACCAGUUUGGGGAGCUCUCUAGCAAUAUCCUUGAUCCGGGCUCCAGGUAGACUACAAACUUCCCUAAGAUGAGGGUCAACCCUGCAUAUUGGGCCCUCAUGUAUCUGGUUCUCCAGGAAAAUGCAGCUAAUAUGAAGCUUUAGCUGACAGGCAAAUUCACUGAAAGAGAAACUUGUUUUUUAACGAAACCAGGACAGCCCCCCACCCCAAUCCCCUCAGAACUCCUCUGAUUCCCAUCUGCUCCUCUCAGGACAGCUGAGCUUGUCUUUUGGGGCCCCUGAGAGCCCCCAUUUACCUUCUUUUACCUACCUUUGUUGUUGUUCCCAGCCUAUCCUGGUGUUUUCCAUCCUUCAGGACUUACUUAUUACUGUUGUGAGAGUCCGAGAGAAAAUGAGGAGUGUCUGUGACUUACAACUGUCGUUGUUGAUCUACAGUGUUUUAGAGAUGGAUUCUUGCAGGAUUUAUUUCUGGUUCGUCCUUCACUCCUCCCCAGAAUGCAGUGCUGGUCCGAGUUCCCCAGCACACGUGUGUGUGUCCAGCCGGGUACGCCUGGGGGAGCGCGUCAGGGGGGGCAGACGGCUGAAUGGACGCGCUGUCAGCGACUGCGGAACGAGCUGGGGCUUCUUUGACCGUGUCCAGCCUUGUGCGUGUGGUUUGUUUUCACUUGCAGGCUGAAACAGCAGUUUCCUUAAUUAAAAACACCCCAACAUGUCACCCAACCCCCAACAAAAAUAACACCAAAAAUGCCACUGAAAAAAACACAGGAAGUUUUUAAAUAAUUUCCUUUAGCUUUCUCCCCCCGCCACUCUGCCCUGCUGCGUUCAGUGCAGUGAAUGACCGUGAGGAGAUGGCUGUGGAUCUGGCUGUUGAAGGGUGUGUGAAGGAGAAGGAGGUGUGUGUAGAGCAGGAUUGGUUGUGGAGGUGAGUGCAGCUGGUUUGGGUGUGGGGCUGUAAAUUCUUUUUGGAGGCUUCCUAGUUUCUGGUGUCACCUGCAGGGUGAAGUGUGAUUCAGUAUGCAGGUUUGAAAGGUGCAACGUGCAGAGCUCCCUCAUUUGCCACCAGAUCUCCAAAUCACAGAGACAGUGUCGCUGUGCAGCUGCUAAGGACAGCGCAUCUCGUGCAGAAUAGCAUCCUUUGUGCUCCGUGUGUGUGUUCCUCCUUUGAAAUGAAGUUGCGCUGCCCGGUGUUCCACGUUACGUGUGGUACCUGCUGGGCUGAGUCUCCUCCCCGCGCUCCGGUCGGUUCCGUCGCGCUGCCGCAGCCCCAGCAGCAGCCUGGCGUUCGUUGGACGCGUUGUUGGCGGAGCCGGCACCGACAAUCUCCGGACACGUCGAGGCGCUGCGGUGGGUUUUCCUGGAAAUUCCAAGGUCCUGGUGUUUUAUUAUUUGAACUACUUACUUACUGUAAGACAUUUAGAAUUAAAACUUAAAUAAGAGCAACCAGAA